AGUGAACGCUGGCGGUAGGCCUAACACAUGCAAGUCGAACGGCAGCACAGUAAGAGCUUGCUCUUACGGGUGGCGAGUGGCGGACGGGCGAGGAAUACAUCGGAAUCUACUUUUUCGUGGGGGAUAACGUAGGGAAACUUACGCUAAUACCGCAUACGACCUACGGGUGAAAGCAGGGGAUCUUCGGACCUUGCGCGAUUGAAUGAGCCGAUGUCGGAUUAGCUAGUUGGCGGGGUAAAGGCCCACCAAGGCGACGAUCCGUAGCUGGUCUGAGAGGAUGAUCAGCCACACUGGAACUGAGACACGGUCCAGACUCCUACGGGAGGCAGCAGUGGGGAAUAUUGGACAAUGGGCGCAAGCCUGAUCCAGCCAUACCGCGUGGGUGAAGAAGGCCUUCGGGUUGUAAAGCCCUUUUGUUGGGAAAGAAAAGCAGCAGGUUAAUACCCCGCUGUUCUGACGGUACCCAAGAAUAAGCACCGGCUAACUUCGUG
rnacentral:rRNA from 1 species